rnacentral:rRNA from 2 species
AACCCUUGUCCUUAGUUACCAGCACGUUAUGGUGGGCACUCUAAGGAGACUGCCGGUGACAAACCGGAGGAAGUGGGGAUGACGUCAAGUCAUCAUGGCCCUUACGGCCUGGGCUACACACGUGCUACAAUGGUCGGUACAAAGGGUUGCCAAGCCGCGAGGUGGAGCUAAUCCCAUAAAACCGAUCGUAGUCCGGAUCGCAGUCUGCAACUCGACUGCGUGAAGUCGGAAUCGCUAGUAAUCGUGAAUCAGAAUGUCACGGUGAAUACGUUCCCGGGCCUU